CCCAUACAGGUGGGAGGACCCAAGAGUAAAGUACUUCCGCUUCCUUAGGUGGAGCUGGAAAGGUGGAGGCGGAAGUGACUGAUCAAUUCAGGGGCGUGGGGUUCGUUUAGGUUUUGCCCUGUGUAUGACCUCGUUUGGAGCCAUGAAACCAGGAAGCUCUUCCACGAGUUCACGAAUGGAAAUAACAUCAAGAGUUUUUCAUCUUCUUAGUGUGCAAGGUUAUUUUAGGGCAGUGAUGGAAAGCACCAAGUGGAGUCUGGAGCUAGACUGAUCGGUGUUCAAUCCUGUCUUGGUUACUCAUUGAGGAGCCUCGACUUUCAUGUCUCUGUAAUGUCCCUGACAGUAUCUGCCUCACAGGGUUGCUGUGAGAAUCAAGCGAGAUGUCUGAGGAAUAGUCUUAGUGGAUUAUCCCAAACUUGACACAUUUUUUUGCAAAAUUCUAUACAAAAAGAAGAUACAUGUGAUUAUGACAAGAUUCUCCACUUGGUGUGACCAGUCUCAUACAACCCAAGGCUGUGCGUCCAAAGGCAACUGCACUGCACAUGACAGAAUUGCUCUGUUGAAGUUUUGCAAGGUCAAAUGACUCACUUUGUCUAAUGGAAUGGGAACGAACAAUUUUUUCGUGUCACGUUUGAACAGAUACCUUUGAGAAGUUUAUGAUUCUCCAAGUUCUCUUUCUCCUACUGUGGCACCUACUGACAAGAUAAAUGUGUAGAGGUUCCUGAGUCUAGGGGUAAGGAAACAAGAAGCAGUGCCUUGUGCAACCCUGAUGUAAUGUGAGCAAGAAAUGCAAACCUGAAAAUUCUGUUACUGCACUAUUAGUGCCCAUCCUGAUAAGUAUAGAAGGUCAUAGUCAAUUUUAAAUAGUUGCUAAAACUGGGCUGCCAAUUUGUUUCUUAGGCUGUAGUGAACAAGUUUCCUAGGACACUGUCUUAUGCAUUUCUUAUUGUGAGAUAUUGAAAGCAAAUUCAUAGUUCAAAAACAAAGCAAGUCUACAUGGGGACAAAAUGAUGCAGCUACAUAUUUUGUACAAAGCUCUGUGCUAGACUCUUGUCUUAAACUUCUAGGAAUUUACAAUCUAAUUAGAGAGAAAGGACCCCAAAUGAUACUAAAAUAAAUAAAUAAAUGGAGCUUAUGCCAGAUGAAUUGUAUCGUCAGGAAUCCAGAGACAAAUUGAUUUCUCAGAACUGGGGCAUUUCUUCAUGGAAAAGGUUGGAGUUAGACUCAUCUCUUUCCUGGGAUGCUGCUGUUACUUUAAUAUCCCAGUUGGAUUUAGUGACAUCUGCAAAGGCUCCGUGUAGUUAAUAAGAUUAAAAUCAAGUUUUAGUCUUCUGUCAACAGCUUGCUGUCUAGCCUCUUCAUUAAGGAAAGGGGGAAAAAAAAGUAUCUGAAGUCAAAGUUGACUCAGUGUUGUAUCAUCAAGUCAGGGAUGCAAAAGUGCCACAUGUUGCUAGGCAUGAGUAAACUCUGAUUUUAAAUAUUCCUCACAAGGAAUAAGAGAAUACAGCAAAUCUGUUGGAUUAGGAAAGACUGCAAUGGCUUUUAGUUGUCAUUAGUACCAUGGUAAGUUUAAAAGAGAAAGUAAAGUGAACUGAAAGUAAAGAUAACUAGAGAACAUCCAUCAAAUGACAGAGUUAUGAGAAAGAUAAAGAGAAGCAACAAACAAUAUCUAAUUAUAGCUUUAUCCACAUGAAUACCAUUCCAUUUUGUUUUAAUUUUGCCAAAAAAGCUAAAGUAAUAAUUUAAAAAUACCUGUUAAAAAAUGGAAAAUGAAAGAUUGAGUUUUUAUUACAGAUUAUCCUAUCCUCCCAAGAAUGCAGUUCUGUCGCAAAAUUUGGCCAUACAAAACCUACAUGUAUAUCAAUUAAAGAGGUUUCCCCACCAUAAAACACAGAAAAUGAGGAGGACCUGUGAGCCAACUCAUCUGGGAAAAUAUGCUUUCCAUAAUUAAAUAUAACAUGCUGCCUCACCCCUGUGUAUGUUCUUGACUAGACAGAGCAAUUCACACUGUGAACUGCAGCGUCUUGGUGUUGAAGGAAGUCUACACAGUGGAGUCGAAUAUAAUAACAAACUGAAACCUUAAUUAGUUGAAGUAACAAAGGCAGUGGUACACAGUUAUGCAAGCGUAGAGUUUGGCUGUUCAUUCCUUCUUAAGAAAAUCUACAUCAGUUAUCUUCAGAAACGUAUUAAAGAUUCCAGGUAGAGAAUAGCAUUGAAAUCCUUCACUGGAUUUCAUCUGGAAGUCUAGGAUCAUUCUGAGGAUGCUUGGAUGCCAUUUCAGACUUUUCAGAAUUUAUACCAUUUAUUUCAUUAGAUAUUUCAAAUUCCUGCACCUUCUGCAGUGUUAAUAGAAUUAUACUAUACAGAAUGGAAAACAACAAUUAAAAAAUUGAGUUUCAGUGAGAACAACAGAGAUAAAAACAGCAGAGUCAAGUAUUUAUUGAGUUUUACUCUGUGCCAGCCACUACACUAGAUGCUGAAGAUAUAGCAGUGAAUAUGACAGUCUCUGCCUUGAUGGAGCUUGCAGUUUUUUCUGAGUGGCUGCUAACUUGAUUCUAAGUUAUCUCCUUAAUUAUUUCAGUAUCUGAGUAGUGUUGCAAUGUGCAGACAACUUGUUCUUUGUCCUUGUCACUGUGGAAAUAGUUAUAAUCGGAUACUGUAUCUACCCCUAGUCUUCUGUAAUUCAUUUUAACAAUGCACACACAUGUUGAUUUGGAGAAAAAGAAUAACAAUCUUUUGAAAAAAUGGUGAUCCUAGGGCUACGACCUUUUAAAAACUUGGGUCUCCGUGAACCCAUUAAGUUGGAUGCAGGACUCGACUUAGUAUAAUAGACCUUUUUCACUCCUGUUAUUACUAGUACGUUAAAGUCUAGCUUUCUUACUGGAGUGGUGUUUGGAGAGAGAAAGCUGCAUCACUUGGGAUGAAGAAACUGAGGCCCACAGAAGGUGGGUGAUACCUGCAAAAUCACAAGCUUUCAUGGUGAAAGAAGAGGGCAAAACUCAACCCGUCUCUUUAGACUUGGGAAGAAUAUGAAAGGACCAGGAGGGACAGCUUUCCUAAUAACCUAGCUGAUGGUUCACUUAUUAGUUGUCUCACUAAGCCCAAAUUUGUCUAACUGGCCUUAUUUCCCUGGAGUAUACCCUGGAAGUUUCCAUGCAAGCCAAUUUAAGUUACUUUAAAUUAGGAAAGGCAGAAAACAAAAGCCCAAACCUUUGUAAAGGAGGAGGAUUUGCUACAUUGUUCUCAAUUCAUCACAGAAGAGGAUGAAACUGAGUGAUUACACUUGCUGGAGAGAAAAAAAGUCCUUCCCCCGCUCACCCCAAAUAAAGCAUUAACUUUAUGUUAAUCCAUGAAUUAAAUUGAAUUGUAUUAUUACUUAGUGCUAAUCUAUAUAACCUACUUAAAAUUUAAUUGUAUGAGUCAUAGUUUGAUUAGAUGCAUGCUAUGCAUCGUUCUUUACAUUAUAACAUCAUCUUGACAUUAUCAAUAUGAUGUCUAUAGAAGACAUUAAUUUCUUGUUCUGAAAUACAGAAGUAUUAUUUUUACGUUCUUUUGCAGGAUUGUAUUCUUUUUGCUUAUAUUAAUAUCAUGUGAAAUCCACCCAAAGGUAGCAAUAACAAUUAUAUAUUUGUUUCCAUUUUGAAAUACAAAUUUAGAACUAAUAUGCAUUUGGUACCCACCUCACUGAAUAUGAAAUCUCAUGACUCUUUACAUCGAGUGCUUAUGACAACAUGCUACAGUGUGCAUGGCCAAACACAUUCUUCAAAAAAAACAACAUAAAGGAUAUAAAGGCUGACAUAAAUGAGUAUUAUUCCUCAGAUUGUUCAUUGAUUUGUUUCAUCUUCUAAUACAACAUUGAUAGACAUAUAAUGUAGCAGAUAUAUUCUUCCUUGCUGGCAGAAUUCACUGUUUCAAACGUAAAUCCCCAACAGUCUAAAUCAUUCUAUGCGAUGCCAUACCUCCUCCCUGUGAUUGCUUUACAAAAGAGCAUGUGACUCAGUCUUGGCAAUGAUUGAGUCACACCUUGGCAAUGACAUGAAAGGGAAGACUGCUGAGGAUUCUGGGGAAUGUGUCUUCACUGAUGAAAAGAAACACAGAAGAAAAAAUUGCUUAUCUUCCUUUGGCCAUUGAUGUAUCUGCAUGGAAAGCCCGUAACUGCAGAAGUCAACUGGGAUUUUAACGGCUGUUCACAGAACACAGCUGAAACACUGGACAGAACUGGCUCCUUGAGUUGCUGAAUUAACCCACUCUGGAACUAAUUUCUUGUUAUAUGAAAUAAUAAUGUUUCCUUUUUGCUUAAGCAACUUUGAGUAGGGGUUUUCCAUGAUGUGCCAUCCAAAGCAUCUUAAUGAUACACAUAGCAAGUAUUUCACAGGAGUUCUUAGCACAAUCACCAUGACAAGUGCUCACGUAAUGUUUAUUUAAAAAAUUCAAUUGGCCCUUCAUAUUCUUGGGUUCUGAGUCUAUAGAUUUAACCACCUACAGAUCAAAAAUAUUUAAAAAAUUGCACCUGUACUAAACAUGUAGACAUUUUUGUUGUCAUUAUUCCCUAAACAAUACAACAACUAUUUAUAUAGCAUUUACAUAGUAUUAGGCAUUAUAAGUAGUCAAGAGAUAAUUUAAAGUGUACAAGAGGAUGCGCAAAGGUUAUAUGGAAAUACUAUACCACUUUACAUCAGGGACUUGAGCAUCUUUGGGUUUUGAUAUCCAAGGGAGGUCUGAGAACCAUUCCCCUGAGGUUACCAAGGGACAAUUGUACUGACUGCAAGGAGGUUAAUAUUAUCUGACAUUAUCACGGACUUCAGAAGACGUGAAGGAAUAUGUAUUUAUUUGGGCUAAAGAUGAAAAUAAUGGAAGUGACUACAAGCAAGUAAUGGAUAAAAUCAAAGUGUUAUGAUGGAGGAGGAGGCAAGAAAAGACACAUUUUGGUACCUCCAAUGACCACCUCAGGGCCUGACUUUUUUUUUUUUUUUUUAAAUGAAAAUAUGACCUCACAGCAGAGUGUUUGUUCUCACUCUUCAUGCUACUGUGAAUGUCAUCCAACCUUACCGUGGCCAGCCCGGCCUCUCCACAUUUCCAGCCUGUGUGUACCACAGUAGCAAAUGUUCUUUCAUUCCCAAAGGGCUAUGUCUUCAAAAUGGAGAAACAGGACACCCACCAAAUGUAUAAAACAGAAAGUAAGACAGAAGAAUGUGCUUAUUGGCUUUUUCUUCUAUCAUUUAAUAGAGUGCUAUGGUUUUUGAAUGUACCUGUCCCUCCAAAAUUUAUAUGUUGAAACCUAAUCACCAAGGUGAUGGUGUUAGAAGGUAGAACCUUUAGGAGGUGAUUAGGUCAUGAGGGUUCACAUUUCAUGAAUGAGAUUAAUUCACUUAUAAAAGAGGCAUCGCAGACCUGUCUCCCACUUUUUGCCCUUCUAAGGUACAAGGACACAGUGCCAUCUUGGAAGCAGCAAUGAAGCCCCUACCAGAAACUGAACCUACUGGCACUUUGAUCUUGGAGAGCUAUGAGAAAUGCAUUUUUAUUAUUUAUAAAUCACCUAGUUUAUAUCAUAUUAGAGCAGUAGGAAUGGACUAAGAGAUUGGGCAAGGGUGAAAUACAAUCUAAACUGCAAGUAAGAGUUUCAGGUAUAAGAAAGAAGUAGAGACUCACAGGGAGUGAGCCUGUUUGCCUCUGUUAAGUAUCCCUUGGGCACAGGAUAAAUUUUCUUUGUAAUGGAAACUUCUGAACCAUUUAUAAUAGUGUCAGUGCCUCUUGAAAGCUAUCAAUUAAACGUUUAUCAAAAAAACAUAAAGACCUUUUCUCCAUUCUCAUUAUCAAGAUCUCAUAGUUAGCUAGGUACUUGAUCUUGAAGCCUGUAUCUUCAAGUGUUUAUAAUAAUUCACAAUCUCAAUUUCUCUCAUUUCUUCACCUCUUACGGCUCCUGGUUCAGCUCUUUUUACCUCCCUUCUCUAAACAGUAAGCAGCUUCUUGUUAUUUUUUUUCUCAGUUUUAUGUUGAGUUUUAGACACACGGAUUUGACUCAGAUUUUUAUCUCUAAAUAACCGUAUAAAAAUAUUUACUGAAUAUGUGCAAGACACAAAGCUGGUUAGGUUAAAUAAAAUGAUACGUAAAACUUUGACUUUGUUUUCAAGAAUCUCAGAAUCCACUGGGAGUCUGAUAUUUAAACAGUUCAACGACAGACAUACUGUGAUAAGUCCCAUAACAAAAAUAUGUAAAAAAUGAAAACGAAAGUAGCUUGCCUCUCACCAUAGUCUGUAAGGCAUCCCCUAUUGGGCUUCUCCUUUUAUUUCAAAUUUGCUAUGUUCAAGAUAGAAUUCACCAUCUUUCCUCCCAAAAUUGUUCUCCAUUGUGAUGAUUCUAUUUCUCCUAGCUGUUGCACAGUUAGCUUAGUCACUCAGGCUUGAAAGAUGGGUAUUCUUUGCAUUUUUCUUAGAUUCAUACUCCCCAUCUAGCCAUAUACUAAGUUCUGUUCAUUUUUCUUUUGAAAUAUCUCUUUUAUCCUUCUGUUGUACAGUCAUUACCAUCGCCCUACUCCAAAAUUGGAUCACUUUAUACUUAUAUUCCUGCAAUUUCCUAGCAGAUGUCUAUGAAUCCAGGCUCUCCCUCAUCUAAAUCAUUCUGUGUACUUCAAAGACCCACCAAAUUCUAAAAUAGGGAGACGUUGACCUCUAAUGCAACAAUCUCUACAAAUCAACCCCAAAAUGUAGAUGAAUACCCAUCUACUAUCCACAUACUUAUUGAUGGGAAGCCCAAUUUUUCAAAAAAACUUCUUACUUAAUUUGUAGAUUAUUUUACUUGAUAGAAAAAUUCCCCUUGUUUUGGUAAGUCUACAUCUUUGUUGCUCUAUUUUUCUCCCUUGAAUCCUUGUUUGGAUUCCCUGAAAUAUAAAAUCUCAUCAAGCCUUUGAAGAAAACUAUUUUCUCUUUUUAAGUCCUAUGUUUUAAAAACUGGUUAAACAUAUACUGUUUCCGUAAUUGAAUCUGAUAUAAAUUUUAGACCACGAUAUCUUGAUUGCCCUCCUAUUGGUAUUUUACACUUUUUCGCAUUAUUUAAAAUACGGUGUUCAAAUAUAAAGAGAAUACUUCACAAUUUCUUUACACAGAUUUUUCAUUAUUCUGCUCAUCAACCAAAUUCAAGUAUCUUAAAUAUUUCCAGUUUUUAUUGUAUCAAAACAAAACUUCUCUCCCUGAGUUCUACCUGACUUUAAAAGCCAUCCAGAAUUUAUGUGUUUUGCUCUAGUCCAACUUAUUUAUCUCAGCUACCUAAAGCAUAUCCCACAUUUGCUGGGAUGGGAUCCUUUCUUUAGCCUCUCCUUUCAUUCACUUAUUCACAUUUCCAACUCUUUCCUUAUGCUUAUCCUUUUGCCUGAAGUGACUUAUCUUUACCUGAUUUUAUCUUCUCUUUCCUUGAACACUCAGUUUUAGAUAGUAUAAUAAGGAAUUUCACCUCAUCAAAGAGAGGUCUGGCUUUUGCCUUCAGCUACUGGGAGGUGACCUCUAGGUUCCUGCAGUGUCCUGCCUGAUAGGAAUCCUUUCAUUUGCUAGUGUGUUUGACUACUAGACCACUUAACAAGGUGAUUUAUGAUGGGGACUUUGAGGCCAUGCUAUAUCACCUCUAAUCUCAUGAAGAACUGAUGAGUAAAGGUUGCCUGACUUUUGUGAGUGGUAGGAGACUAAAGGGCAGCCAAUGCCAGCACUAUGUGAUUAAGCCCCAGUAAAAACUCUGGACACUGAAGGCUUGAGCCAGCUUCCCUGAUUGGCAAACUCUGUGUGUAUUGCCACACAUUGUGGCAAGGAGGAGGUAAUACCAUCCAUGACUCCACAGGAAGAAGACAGCCAGAAGCUGUGUAUUUGGACCUCUCUCAGACUCUGCCCUAUGUAUCUAUUCCAUUGGCUGAGUUUUUGUAUUCCCCUGUAAUAAACCAUGACUAUAAUAGUUUUCAAUGAGUUCUGUGAGUCCUUAUAGUGAAUUAUCAAAUCCACGUUUAGUCAUUGGAAUCCUUUAAAUUGUAGCCAGCUGGUCUAAACUGAGAGUGGUCCUGGGGACCCAGGAACUUUAUGACUUGUGUCUGAAGUGAGGACAGUCUUGUGGGGAGAAUUCCCUGAAAUUGCAUUGUUGGUCAAACUCAUCACACAGACCCACUUCCUUCCUGAAGCAUCCUCUAAGUACUACUUCCCUCACUGAUGUUGCUUCCUUCUAAAUAUCUAUAUAUUGACUGUUCACCCUUGAACAGUGUGGGUUUGAGCUGCACAGGUCCACUUAUAUCUGCCUCUGUCACCCCUGAGACAGCAAGAGCAAACCUUUCUCUUUCUCUUCCUCUUCAGCCUACUCAACAUGAAGAUGACAAAGAUGCAGACCUUUAGGAUGGUUCACUUCCACUUAAUAACUAGAAAAUAUAUUUUCUUUUCCUUAUGAUUUGUACUAACGUUUUCUUUUCUCUAACUUACUUUGUAAUCAAAAUACAGUAUCUAACACACAUGAAAUACAAAAUACGUUUUAAUUGGCUGUUUAUAUUAUUGGUAAGGCUUCUGGUCAACAGUAAGCUCUUAGUAAUUAGGUUUUGGAGGAGUCAAAAGUCAUGUACAGGCCAGAAGUGGUGGCUCACGCCUAUAAUCCUAGCACUUUGGGAGGCCAAGGUGGGUGGAUCACUUGAGGUCAGGAGUUUGAGACCAGCUUGGGCAACAUGGUGAAACCCCAUCUCUACUGAAAUACAGAAUUAGCCAGGCAUGGUGGCACAGGCCUGUCAUCUCAGCUACUUGGGAGGAUGAGGGAGGGGAAUCACUUGAACCUGGGAGGCAGAGGUUGCAGUGAGCUGAGAUCGCACCACUGCACUCCAGCCUGGGCAAUAGAGUGAGACUCCAUCUCGGAAAAAAAAAAAAAAAAAGAAAACAAGAAAAAAAAGUUAUACACAGAUUUUUGACUACACAAGGAAUUGCUGCUCCUACCCCCUGCAUCAUUGAAGGGUCAACUGUAUACUGAAUAUCACAAAAUUUGUCACAGACAUAGAUCACUGGAGGUAACAUAUUAAGCUGACAUUACGAUAAGUACCAGCAAAGGUUUGGAUUUGGGUACCACGGAUAUUUAGCAAUCUUGUAACUUCUGAGAUCAGAAGACAAUAAAAGAAGGAGAGAGAAGACUAUUAUAAUGCUGUGAAAAAGUAUAAGAAGAGAGGAUGGUAGUGAUACUGGCAAGAAGGCAUCAAUCAUUUUCCUAAGGAACCACUGUAUUAACAAUAUAGUUCAACAGUUCUAUCAACAUGUUUUAAAGCACUUGCUAGGCAGUGAAAAUGUGUCAUCAACUCUCCAGGGAUGAAUAGUUGAUGAUGGUAUUUGAUCAUUCUUGCAACAUUUUUUUUUGAUAGAAGUUUAUUUCAGAGGCUUCAUACUUUGGGAAUAGGUCGCUGCCUUUCCCACAUCUUACAAUUUUAUAUGAGCAAGACCAUCUACGUGCUCUGCCUGUGACUGGUAGUUUUCUUUUUAAUUAUAUUUUUUCGUAUUUCUUUUUUCAUGAAAGACGCCAAAAGUCAGUGUGGUGACCCUGUCAAGUUUAACAUAAAUGGAUAAUUCUGAGUGAUGUGAGAUACUCUAAAUAGAGAGAAAACAGAAAGAGUAGUCAUGAACAGCACAUAAGUACAGCAAUAUGGGAACAGGAAAUAAGAAACCAGAAGGAACAGAGGAAUUAAAAGGGCAGAAAUGGGCUCACAUUGGCUUCCAGAACUAGAAGGAAUUGGAGGAAGAUAUUCAUAGAAACUCAGAAAAGUUCUGAAAUCAGAAAUGGUGAUGGGUUGAUUCUUGGCUUGAGUACAGCAGCAGGUGGUAAAAAAAGGGGAUAGAAAGAAGGAAGGUAUUCGUUGGCCAGAAGUUUGAUAUCCUUUCCUUGUGGAAAACAUCUUGCCUUUUGGUUUUAUUUUUACUUCUCUGAGAACUGUAAGGAGACCAGGAUUCAUAUUUCCUUGGGCUAGGAUUAUGACAGAUUACAUUCUUUUUUUUUAUCCCUAGAUAAUGCUUUUCAGAAAGAAAAACAUCUCAAAUAGGCAUCCUGGAGGGCCCUGAAGGACCCUAAAUUGGGACAAUUCUAUAAAAACAGGAUGUUUGAUUAUCUCUUGUUCUGCUAAAAUCACACUACAGAGCCUGGCUGAGCUGGGGGAUGUGCAAUAGAUCAGUAACAAGGCAAGAAUUCAUUAUCCACCUGCUAGAGUUCUAUGAUAACCUAUCAAUGGAAUAAGUGUGUAAAUCUCUACUUUUUAAGCAGUCUUCAUAUUUCACAAAACCCCUUUGUAGCUAGUUAAGCCACUUGCAACUUUCCUAACAUCCAUUUUCACUACUGGAAAAUGGAUAAAUCAAAAUAAUGCGUUAGGUUUUGAUGUGCUUAAUCUGGUUUCUGUUUGAAACAUUAGCAUUUAUGAAUCAGAUAUGCAAAGUGUGGUGUGUCCAAUUUCCAUAACUCUAUCCCUCUUCAGUAUACUAGAAAUAAUUGGGCCACGAGUUUAUUAAUAUUGAAAUUUCCAGUACAAAAUGCAUUUCUAGUUGAAGUGAUACCAGCUAGUAUUUUACAUACUGGUAAGUGCUGAUCAAUUGGUAGACAUUGUUUCUGUUCCUGAUGUUUGAAGAAAAGAGAAACUACCUUUUCUGAUUAAAAGAAAUGCAGUCAUUCAGUAAGCAAUGCACACAAUCUUUACAAUUUCCUGUGUUCAAAUAGUCUUCUGAAAUUAUAGCACAUAUGUGUGUAUAUCAUAAAUAUAGAUAAAAAUAUCAGCGUUCAUUCUAAAUUGCUUAAAAUAUGUAUUUCUCUUUUAAACAGAAACAUUUACUAUAAUUCCAUAGUUUUUUUUCAAAUAUGCUUUUUUCUAAGACAAUUUAAGGAGCUUUUUGAAACAGGGUUAUUGAUCUCUUUUAUAAGAUCAGAUGAAUAAAUUAUUUCCAAGAAAACUGAUUCCCAGGAUAGAAUUGGUAUGUUGUUUCUCUAAAUUUUGGUGGUUUAAGAACUCAUCUUGUUCAUUUUCAGCAUAUAAUCUAUAGUUUUUGAGAAGCUAAAUGGAAAGAAUGAUGAAAAAUGCACAGUUGCAAAAUUCAAUUUUAGAAACACAACUUAAAAGGCUUAUUUAAUAUGCUGCAGGUGUAAACAUAUGCAGCAUAGGAAAAGAUGAUGAGACAUAGAUCAAACAAUUAUUUCAGGUAAAAUAAAACCUAACACUUGUGUUUUCUGAUUAGAACUUCCCUUUCCAUUUAUUGAUAUCUGUUUCAUUCAAGACAGAAUGCAAAACUAUAUAUCUUCUAUGUUUUAGUCAGGGUAGGAUGCUAAAUUAUAUUUUUAAAAGACAUCAUUUAGCUUUUUCCAUUGCAGAAACAAAUGUACACUGAAUUAAAACUUAGGAGCUGAUAGCUUCCACAGGCUGUUGCGUAUCACCAAAAACUCAACAUGAGUUCAUUAAUGCUUGUUGAAUUGGAACUUUUUUUUAAAUCUGAGCCUGUCCUGUCUAAUAAAAUAUACAAACAAGAAAAUAUGAACUCAUUUAAUAGUUGAAAGGUAAUGGUCAUCUAGUAGCCUCUUCUCUUGGAAUGGUUUAGCAAUUCAUUGCUGCAUGUAUUCAGAUUAAUUUUAUAGCAUUAAAAUGAUAAUAUUGUAAAACAUGCCUAUAUCUCUUUCACAUACUUCCUUCUGGUUUAGUAAGGAUUCUGCAGUAAGAUAGUGUGAUGGACUAGUUGACUUCCCAAGGCCUAUUAUUCUAUGAAGUGAAAAUUAAUAUCCUUUUAACAGAAAAGCCUGGUUUCCAAUUAUCAGUAGAGCAGAUGUUGUGCUUUUCUUCUGGAUAUAAAGAAAAGGGAUGUGCAUAUCAUGCUUCAAGAGGUGUAGCAAUAUAAGUAAGGCUUUUUCACUCUGCUUUACUGCUACCCUGAGGGUAAAUUGCUCGGGUGUGCAGCUCCAUCCUGCAAUUCCUCCAAAUAUCAGAAAUGAAAAGCACAGCUAUGAAAGGUCCAGGCUUGGCUUUCCUCAUCAUAAAAUUAUGGGAAUGUAACUCAUACAGCUGCUGUGACUACCUGCUGUCUGCCAGAUCCCCUUGCUUCCACUUUUUCUGCUUACUGGGUAUAGCCAGUCAUUUCCAAGAGCUAAUUUGCAGUUGAUUAUGCAAUCUGCCAAGCCCAAUCAAUGUGCAUACUCAUGACCACUCAUAAGAUCAUUUGCCUUAAUCAUAGGAGACCUGGAGGUCACUACUUCACUAUAGGGAAUAUAUUCAGUAGAGAUAGUUGUAGGGGUGCCCACUACCCAGCUGCCUGCCAGGUCUCUUGGCUUCCAUCAUUUUCAUCUCUUGGAUGAAGCCAGUUUUAUCCAAAGUCGCUUCAAAGGCAAAUCCAUUUCCUACCAGUGAGAAAUCCUCUGCUGACUACGGACUUCUGAGGCAGCA